UGGGGAAUUUUGGACAAUGGGCGAAAGCCUGAUCCAGCAAUGCCGCGUGUGUGAAGAAGGCCUUCGGGUUGUAAAGCACUUUUGUCCGGAAAGAAAAUCCUUGGCUCUAAUACAGUCGGGGGAUGACGGUACCGGAAGAAUAAGCACCGGCUAACUACGUGCCAGCAGCCGCGGUAAUACGUAGGGUGCAAGCGUUAAUCGGAAUUACUGGGCGUAAAAGCGUGCGCAGGCGGUUUGCUAAGACCGAUGUGAAAAUCCCCGGGCUCAAACCUGGGAACUGCAUUGGUGACUGGCAGGCUAGAGUAUGGCAGAGGGGGGUAGAAAUUCCACGUGUAGCAGUGAAAAUGCGUAGAGAUGUGGAGGAAUACCGAUGGCGAAGGCAGCCCCCUGGGCCAAAUACUGACGCUCAUGCACGAAAAGCGUGGGGAGCAAAACAGGAUUAGAUACCCUGGUAGUCCACGCCCUAAAAACGAUGUCAAACUAGUUGUU
rnacentral:rRNA from 1 species